rnacentral:rRNA from 1 species
GCGUGCUUAACACAUGCAAGUCGAACGGUGAACACGGAGCUUGCUCUGUGGGAUCAGUGGCGAACGGGUGAGUAACACGUGAGCAACCUGCCCCUGACUCUGGGAUAAGCGCUGGAAACGGCGUCUAAUACUGGAUAUGUGACGUGACCGCAUGGUCUGCGUUUGGAAAGAUUUUUCGGUUGGGGAGGGGCUCGCGGCCUAUCAGCUUGUUGGUGAGGUAAUGGCUCACCAAGGCGUCGACGGGUAGCCGGCCUGAGAGGGUGACCGGCCACACUGGGACUGAGACACGGCCCAGACUCCUACGGGAGGCAGCAGUGGGGAAUAUUGCACAAUGGGCGAAAGCCUGAUGCAGCAACGCCGCGUGAGGGAUGACGGCCUUCGGGUUGUAAACCUCUUUUAGCAGGGAAGAAGCGAAAGUGACGGUACCUGCAGAAAAAGCGCCGGCUAACUACGUGCCAGCAGCCGCGGUAAUACGUAGGGCGCAAGCGUUAUCCGGAAUUAUUGGGCGUAAAGAGCUCGUAGGCGGUUUGUCGCGUCUGCUGUGAAAUCCCGAGGCUCAACCUCGGGCCUGCAGUGGGUACGGGCAGACUAGAGUGCGGUAGGGGAGAUUGGAAUUCCUGGUGUAGCGGUGGAAUGCGCAGAUAUCAGGAGGAACACCGAUGGCGAAGGCAGAUCUCUGGGCCGUAACUGACGCUGAGGAGCGAAAGGGUGGGGAGCAAACAGGCUUAGAUACCCUGGUAGUCCACCCCGUAAACGUUGGGAACUAGUUGUGGGGUCCAUUCCACGGAUUCCGUGACGCAGCUAACGCAUUAAGUUCCCCGCCUGGGGAGUACGGCCGCAAGGCUAAAACUCAAAGGAAUUGACGGGGACCCGCACAAGCGGCGGAGCAUGCGGAUUAAUUCGAUGCAACGCGAAGAACCUUACCAA